AUAUUCGGAUUGAUUGAAUACGAAAAUAGUUUCGGACGAAUAAUAUCCAUACCACUUCACCCCUAUGUGGGAGGUCAUUGGAUGGUGGGUGGUCUAGUUUGGAACCCAGAAAAUAGAGCUGAUGCCACCUUCUAGAUUAUGACCUCAUUCAUGAUCACUUGUUCUUGGAUUCAAAUUGAGACAGCACUCUAUUGUCAUGCCAACCUCAAGCCACAAGCUGCCUCGAUGGAA
rnacentral:lncRNA from 1 species